rnacentral:lncRNA from 1 species
AAGAAGAAGAGGCGAGAACGACCCCGGGACCGACCAAAGCCCGCGCGCCGCCGCAUCCCGCGUACAGCACCUACAUCCCGCCACCGUCACCGCCACCACCAUGCCCAAGAGAAAGGCUGAAGGGGAUGCUAAAGGAGGUAAAGCCAAGGUGAAGGACGAACCACAGAGAAGGUCUGCAAGGUUGUCUGCUAAACCUGCUCCUCCAAAGCCAGAGCCCAAGCCUAAAAAGACCCCUGCAAAGAAGGCAGAGAAGGUACCCAAAGGGAAAAAGGGAAAAGCUGAUGCUGGUAAGGAGGGGAAUAGCCCUGCAGAAAGUGGAGAUGCCAAAACAGACCAGGCCCAGAAAGCUGAAGGUGCUGGAGAGGCCAAGUGAAGUGUGUGCAUUUUUGAUAACUGUGUACUUCCAGUGACUGUACAGUUUGAAAGACCAUUUUUUAAAUCAAGUUUUAUAAAAAUGCAGAAUUUUGUUUUACUUUUAUUUUUCUUUUAAAGCUAUGUUGUUAGCACACAGAACACUUCAUUGUUUGUUGGGGGAGGGGCAUAUGUCACUAACAGAAUGUCUCCAAAGCUGGAUUGAUGUGGAGAAAGCACCUUUCCCUUCUAGUCUUGAGAGACUUCCUCUUGGCUCCCAGGAGGAGGGAUUCCCUGACUUUGACACACAUGGCCACCUUGGCACAAAAGCCUUGUGGUGUGGAAAAACAAAUUUGUUUUUAUGUCCUCUUCUCCCUUUCCAUCUUUCAGCA